rnacentral:rRNA from 1 species
UAGCGGUAGGGGGCAAGCGUUUGUCCGGAUUUAUUGGGCGUAAAGAGCGUGUAGGCGGCUUUACAGGUCCGUUGUGAAAACUCGAGCUCAACCUCGAGACGCCGGUGGAAACCGUAAGGCUAGAGUCCGGAAGAGGAGAGUGGAAUUCCUGGUGGUAGCGGUGAAAUGCGCAGAUAUCAGGAGGAACACCAAUGGCGAAGGCAGCUCGCUGGAACGGAACUGACGCUGAGGCGCGAAAGCGUGGGGAGCGAACAGG